GAUGAACGCUGGCGGCGUGCUUAACACAUGCAAGUCGAACGGAAAGGCCCAGGCUUGCUUGGGUACUCGAGUGGCGAACGGGUGAGUAACACGUGGGUGAUCUGCCCUGCACUUCGGGAUAAGCCUGGGAAACUGGGUCUAAUACCGGAUAGGACCACUUCUUGGAUGUUGUGGUGGAAAGUUUUUUCGGUGUGGGAUGAGCUCGCGGCCUAUCAGCUUGUUGGUGGGGUAAUGGCCUACCAAGGCGUCGACGGGUAGCCGGCCUGUGAGGGUGUACGGCCACAUUGGGACUGAGAUACGGCCCAGACUCCUACGGGAGGCAGCAGUGGGGAAUAUUGCACAAUGGGCGCAAGCCUGAUGCAGCGACGCCGCGUGGGGGAUGACGGCCUUCGGGUUGUAAACUCCUUUCGCUAGGGACGAAGCGUUUUGUGACGGUACCUGGAGAAGAAGCACCGGCUAACUACGUG
rnacentral:rRNA from 1 species